rnacentral:lncRNA from 1 species
AAAAUUAGUAAAAUUAAAAUGUAAAACUAUAUUUUAUGAAGAUAAGCCGUCUUUUUUUUUUAAGUGAAAAAUGAUAAUCUUACAUAUUUUUAAUGUACUUUUUCCAUUUUUUGUGCUGUAUGUUUACAUAUUAUUUAUAAUUUUCAAAAAUUAGUAAAAUUAAAAUGUAAAACUAUAUUUUAUGCAACUUGUCAUCUUUCGGGAGAAGUUUUUUUUGCUGAUGUGGACGCUCUAUGGAGUCUUAAAAGGUCAAUUUUAUUAGUAUCUUUUUUAUAAAACGGUAAUGUUACAUUAUGGAGAUAAACCGUCUUUUUUUUUAAGUGAAAAAUGGUAACCUUACAUAUCUUUAAUGUAGUUUUUCCAUUUUUUAUGCUGUAUAUUUACAUAUUAUUUAUAAUUUUCGAAAAUUAGUAAUAUUAAAAUGUAAAACUAUAUUUUAUGCCACGUGUCAUCUUUCGGGAGAAGUUUUUUUGCUGAUGUGGACGCUCUAUGGAGCCUCAAAAGGUCCCUUUUAUUAGUAUAGAUUUCUUUUUCUUAUAGUUUAUAUUUACUUAAUAUCCAUAUUUUACCUUUUAAGAUAGAUGUUUAAUAUUUAAUGUACUCUUUCCAUUUUUUAAAAAUUAUGCAUUUACUUAUUAUUGUAUAUAUUAUUCGUAUAUUUAUAUAUUUAUAAUAUUUACUUAUUAUUUAUUUUUCUAUAUAUUGAGUAUUUCUCUUUCUUAUACUUUAUAUUUAGUUAAAAUCGAUAUUUUAUAUUUUAAGAUAGAUGUUUAAAUCUUAAUGUAUUUUUCCAUUUUUAAUGUAAAACGGCAAUGUUUAAUACAAUAACUUAGACAAAUAGUCAAAUAGUUAUAUUUAUGUUUUUUUUAUAUAAAAUGGUAAUGUUACAUUAUGAAGAUAAGCCAUUUUUGUUAGUGAAAAUGGUAAUCUUACAUAUGUUUAAUGUAGUUUUUCUAUUUUUUUUAUGUUGUAUGUUUACAUAUUAUUGUUAUUUAUAAAUGUAAAAUGGUAAUCUUAUAUAUGCUUAAUGUAUUAUUUCCAUUUUUUAUGUUGUAUGUUUACAUAUUAUUUAUUAUUUUCUAAAUUAUAUAUGGAGAUAAACCGUCUUUUUUUAGUGAAAAAAGGUAAUUUUACAUAUGUUCAAUGUAGUUUUUCCAUUUUUAUGUUGUAUGUUUACAUUUUAUUUUUUUUUAAAUAAAAAUGUAAAAUGAUAAUCUUACAUAUGUUUAAUGUAGUAUUUCCAUUUUUUAUGUUGUAUUUUACAUAUAUUUAUUAUUUUCAAAAUUAUAUAGAAUGUUUUUUGUUUUUUUAUAAAACGGUAAUGUUACAUUAUGAAGAUAAGCCGUCUUUUUUUUUAAGUGAAAAAUGAUAAUCUUACAUAUUUUUAAUGUAGUUUUUCCAUUUUUUGUGCUGUAUGUUUACAUAUUAUUUAUAAUUUUCGAAAAUUAGUAAAAUUAAAAUGUAAAACUAUAUUUUAUGCAACUUGUCAUCUUUCGGGAGAAGUUUUUUUUGCUGAUGUGGACGCUCUAUGGAGCCUUAAAAGGUCAAUUUUAUUAGUAUCUUUUUUAUAAAACGGUAAUGUUACAUUAUGGAGAUAAACCGUCUUUUUUUUUAAGUGAAAAAUGGUAAUCUUACAUAUCUUUAAUGUAGUUUUUCCAUUUUUUAUGCUGUAUGUUUACAUAUUAUUUAUAAUUUUCGAAAAUUAGUAAUAUUAAAAUGUAAAACUAUAUUUUAUGCCACGUGUCAUCUUUCGGGAGAAGUUUUUUUGCUGAUGUGGACGCUCUAUGGAGCCUCAAAAGGUCCUUUUUAUUAGUAUAGAUUUUUCAAGACUGCUUCUCUUUUAAUAGAAUAGAUAUUCCUAAGCUUAAAAAUAAGUUGAAUGAUAUCUAUCUUUGUAGUAUUAGUUGUAAGCUCAAGAAUAUUGGAACUUGAAGCAGAUGGACAAGAAAACGAAAGGAAAACUUUCAUGGAUUACUUAUGAAGCAAGCAAGAGGAAACUUGACUUUUAAGAAGUGCAUGGCACCGAGGAAAGUCAAUCAAUAUCUUCGAAAGAUAUGAAAAAAUCAGAGGUACCUCUAUAAUAUUAUUUGACAAGUCAGUUUCA